UACGAAGGGGGCUAGCGUUGUUCGGAAUUACUGGGCGUAAAGCGUGCGUAGGCGGUUUGUUAAGUCCGCUGUGAAAGCCCUGGGCUCAACCUGGGAAUUGCAGUGGAUACUGGCAAGCUAGAGUGCAGAAGGGGCAAUCGGAAUUCUUGGUGUAGCGGUGAAAUGCGUAGAUAUCAGGAGGAACACCGGUGGCGAAGGCGGGUCUCUGGGCCGAUACUGACGCUGAGGAGCGAAAGCGUGGGGAGCGAACAGG
rnacentral:rRNA from 1 species